UUUUUUUUUUCUGGGAAAUACAAAAUAUCUUUGGGUAAAUGGACAGUAUGACACAUUUUCAUAUAUUUUUAAAAAUACUACAUCGUGGUCCUUCACACCACACACACACAAUUUUUUUCACAACAUUCUCCUUGUCUUCGAGGAUUUCACUCCAGGAGUAUCACAGGAAAGCCCAUUAACAAUUCCUGGGAAAUAAAAAUAGAAUCUGGGUACCAAAAUAAAGUCUAACCUUUUUGUUGCUUUGUGGUUAAUCCAGUUUCACUUGCUCACAGGGUGCCCCACGCAGUGGUCUUGCUUCUGGCUCUUCAGGCUGGAGCGCUUAGUGUAAAUAAGCUGAGCGGACACCUCAGCUCCUGGUACGAGGCGCUGUGCAAAAGCACUGCUAGGGCCCUGCGAUUCAAGGUGGUGGCGGUAGGUCUAGCGCUGCACGCAUGCGCACUGAGAUCUGGAGCAAGACCAAAACAGGCACACCUGCUGGUAAGAACCCCAGCUGCUCCCUGCUGGCAAUAACCCUAUAAAUCAGCCCUGCCCAAGGCCUGUCAGAGGUCAAGUACUCUGGAGUGCCAGUUCUCAUCAUCUCUCCAUUUUCUGUCAAAGACUAAAGCUUUCUUUUACUUCUAAAUUAAACUCAGUCCAGUUCUAUUGGCUUAAAUAACACCAAGCAGAAGGACCCUUGUUGGGGACCUAUCCAGGAAGGUUGAUAACAGUUAUUUAUAGUGGUGUUCCCUGAAAUGAGAGGACUCAUAGCUUGAUACCUUUCAUUCCCUCACUUCAUCUUUCCCACUCCCGACACCCGUAAUAUUUAAAAUCACAAAUUAAAAGAAAGUAGUAAUUUUGCCCCUGUAUUUAUAAUGGAUAGACGGACUUAAAAGAAUUCUCCUUUACUUUGAAUACCGCAAAGCUCAAAAAUAUCUGCCUCAGAAUGGUCCCUCUCUGCACUUAUUUUUCUAGUAGCAUCCUCAUAGUAGUAUUUAAGGGAGAUCUUAAUUAAUAGACAUGUAUCCUGGAUUGAAUAUAAUUGAUGUCAACAGAAAACUGGCCCAUGUAACACAUACAAACAUUUCUAACUGAACGAAUGUAAGUCCAACGGUAUCUUUAAAAAAGAAAGUUGGAGUUCUCCGUUGUGACUCAGCAGGUUAAGAACCCGACAUAGUGUCCUUGAGAAUGCCGGUUCAAUCUCUGGCUUUGCUCAAUGGGUUAAAAAAUGGUUGUUGCCUUGGCUGUGUCAUAGGCUUACAGCUGCAGGUCUGAUUCGACCCCUAACCCAGGAAUUUCCAUAUGCUACAGCUGUGGCCAUAAAAAUGAAAAAAAAAAAAGAAAGCUAAUUUAUUCUACUAGAGAAAUUUGAAACACAUUAAGUCAAGUCUUAGUGCAGGCAGCCUUGUCUAUGUUUUUCUAGGUAGCAUUGGAGUAAAUUAACCAUCACCAAAUGUCUAGAUUGGUUAAAAAUUUACAGAUAUUUCUUUUUAAAUGCUAAUCAUUCAAUUUGCCCUUACAAAUCCACAGCAUACUCAAGCAGCUCGCUUAUGAACACAGAUAAUUGCCUACUGCUCCGGAGAGAAAAUAGACAAACUGAGGUCAGAAACGUGUUUUUUAACUAGUAUAAAUAACCUCCAAAAGGCACUGCAGUAAAGAAAGAAAAUCAAAUUAUAGAGAAGAUGAAAGAAAAUGAGAUUGAAAAAUACCCAAAAUUUCUGAUUUCUGAUCCAAUGAUUAAACUAACAAAAGGAAAGAAAGAAAGCUAAAGAAAGAACUUUCUGCUUCUGAUUCCACUUGUAAGGAGCAUGGAAUAUUAGCUGUUCAGCCUAAUAACAAGUGAAAAGCUUAACAGACUGAGAAGCCAACAAACUCUUCUUGGAUCCUUAAGAAAGGAAAAGACACAGGGAAAAUCAGUACCCUCAAGUUUGGAGAAAGAGAGAGACAGGUGAAUACAAGGAGUCAGGGUUUACUGAAACAAAGACACAUGAGUAGAAACUAUUGCAGGAACCAAUGCCAGAGUGGAAAACCUAAAUUACAUUGCAGAAUUGCUAGAGGUUCAGUAUGGGCAACUCUGGGAGUUAGAAACUCUAUGGGGACCCAGUCACUGGAAGGGGGAGGGCUACAAUUUGUGAGAUUUACCUUCAGGGGCUUGAGGAGGUUCUCACAAUAAAUAUCACAAAAAAUCCCACCAUACUUCUAGGAGGAGAAGGAGAAAGGAACCAUUGUGAUGUAAACCAGAUUGCUAUGCUUUUCAUAGUAAGGGCUGCCCUCAGGUGAAAUUCGUUAACUAGAGCCUAACCUGCUGGGUCUUAUCAGAGCCUAACUGACAUGGGAGAAGGGAAAUACCAACUGCAGUCCACUCCACCUUACAUAUGGAAGAAGGGAAAAAAACAAUACCAGCCUAUUCUGCUAAUGCUGUCUCACAUAAUGAGGGAGAAAAACACUGAGAAACAUUUGUAAAGUUCACAGUCCAGAGGCAUAAACUCAUUAAAAGACUGAGACAUAAUUAUAGGGCAAUAGAGCUCGUCCUCUUCUCCCAGCACCUUAGGCCACAUUAACAAAUGCUAUUUACAGAAGUCCCUCCUACCUGGUACAUCGAGUCUUAACUAUCAAGAAAAAAUGCAAGCCAUACUAAAAGACAAAAACACAAUCUGAAGAGACAGAGCAAGCAUCAGAACCAGAUGUGUUCAAGUAUGUUGGAAUUACCAGACUAGGAAUUUAAAACAGCUAUGAUUAGUGUGUUAGUAAUCCUAACAAAGUAAACAGCAUGCAAGAGCAGAUGGCCAAUGUAAACAGAGAGAUGAAAAUUAUAAGAAGGGGCCAAAAAGAAAUCCUAGACAUCAAAUGAAGAAUAAUAAUGAAGAAUGCCUUUGAUGGGCUUAUUAUUAGACAACACAGCUGAGGAUAGAAUCUCUGACUUGAAGGAUGUAUCAAUAAAACUGAAAAACAAAGAGAACAAAGGCUAAAAAAAAAGAAAAAAGAAACAACAUCCAAGGACUAUGAAGCAACUACAGAAAUGCAACAUAAAUGUUCUGAGAAUACUGGAAGGAGAAAAAAGAAACAAACAAAAAUAUUUGAAACAAUGAAAGAAUUUCCCCCAAAUUAAUGUCAGACACCAAUUGAUAGAUCCAGAAGGCUCAUAAAACACCAAGAAGAAUAAAUACCAGGAAAAAUUAUAUCUAGGCAUAUCAUUUCAAAAAAUAGGAAAUCAAAGAUAAAGGUAGAAUCCUGAAAGAAGCCUGAGGAAAAAAUACAUUAAACCAUAGAAGAACAAAGAUAGGAAUUAUGUCCAAUGUCUCUUCAACAACCAUGUAAGCAAUAAGAGAGUGGAGUGAAUGUUUAUGUUGGGGGAGAAAGCACAAAGUUAGAAUUAUGUACCCUGCACAAUUAUUCUUCAAAAGAGAAGGAAAAGUAAAAACUUUCUCAGUCCUUAAUUUAUCUACAGAUUCAAUGCAAAUCAAAAUCCCAGCAUAUUAUUUUCCAUAUAUUGACAAAUUGACUCUAAAAUUUAUAUGGAGAGGCAAAAGACUCAGAAUAGCCACCAAAAUAUUUAAGGAGAAGAUAAAGUUGGAAGAAUGACAUUGCCCAACAUCAAGGCAUAAUAUAAAGCUACAAUAAUUAAAAGUGUGGUAUCAGUGAAAAAAUAAAUAAAUAAAUGGAACAGAAUAGUGAGGUGAGAAAUAGGCCCACAUCUGGUUAUUGACAAAAGAACAAAGAGAAGACAAUUGAGCAAAUAUAGUUUUUUUUCAGCAGAUAAUGCUGAAACACCUGUAUAUCUACAUGUAAACAAUGAAUCAGAAUACAGACCAUUCACCUUUCACAAAACUUAACUCAAAAUGCUUCAUAGACCUAAAUGUAAAAUACAAAACUAUGAAACUUCUAGAAGAUAACAUAGGAGAAGACCUAGAUGAUUUUGGGUGUGGUGAUGAAAUUUUAAAUACAAAACCAAAGGCAAGAUCCAUGAAAGAAAUCAUUGAUAAGCUAGAUUUCAUUAAAAUGGAAAACUUAGACUCUGUGAAAGACAAUGUAAAGCGUAUGAAAAGACAAGCCACAGACUAGGAGACAACACUUGCAAAAGACACAUCUGCAAAAGAACUGCUAUCCAAAAUAUGCAAAUUCAACAAUAAGAAAACAUCCUGAUUAAAAAUUAAAACAAAGACUUUAUUAGACACCUCACCAAAGAAGAUAUAUAGAUAGCAAAUAAACAUAUGAAAAAAUACUUCACAUCAUAUGUCAUCAAGGAAAUACAAGUUAAAACAACAAGAUACCACUGCAUCCCUAUUAGAAUGUCCAAAAUCUGCAACACUGAUAACACCAGAUGCUGUCAAGGGUGUGGAGCAACAGGAUCUCUCAUUCACCGCUGGUAUAUAUGAAAAAUGGAACAGAUACUCUGGAAGACAGUCUGGAAGUUCCUUACAAAACUAAAUAUGCUCUUACCAUACAAUUCAACAAUCAUGCUCCACGGUAUUUACCCAAAGAAUUGAAUAACUAUGCCCACACAAUAACCUGCACAACAAAGUGUAUAGUAGCUUUAUUCAUAAUUGCCAAAACUUAGAAGCAAACAGUAUGUCCUUUGAUAGGUGAAUAAAUAACUGAUUCAUCAUGACAAAAGAACAUUACUCAGUGCAAAAAAAUCAAAAUUAUCUAUCAAUACAUGGAGGAACCUUAAAUGCAUAUUACUAAGUGAAAUAAGGCAAUCUGAGAAACUAUAUACUGUGUUAUUCCAACUAUUACAUUACAGAAAAAGCAAAACUAUGGAGACAGUAAAAAGAUCAUUGGUGGCCAGGAGUUUGGUUUGGGAAAAUAAUGAAUAGGUAGAACUCAGAGGAGUUUUAAGGCAGCGAAAAUAUUCUAUGAUACCACAAUGAUGGCUAUACAUCACUGUACAUUUGUCCAAGCUCAUAGAAUGUACAAUGCCAACAGUGAACUCUCAUAUAAAUUAUGGACUUUGGUGAUUAUGUGUCAAUGUAGGUUCAUUGUAACAGACAUACCGCUCCGAUGGGUGACAUUGAUAGCGGGGGAGGCUAUGCAUAGAUAGGUUUAGAGGCUGUGUGGGAAAUCUGUGUACCUUCUACCCAAUUUUCUUGUGAACCUAAAACUGCUCUAAAAAUAAAUAGAAGAAUUUUAAUCAAAACCUUAAAGUCUUUGUCUCUAUUGCUUUCCCUUAAUACUUUCUUUUAAAUAGAAGAAUUUUAAUCAAAACCUUGAAGUCUUUGUUCUAUUGCUUUCCCUUAAUACUACACAGUGACACUAAGUUCCUAUGAAUUCCCAGUGUUCCUUUAACUGCAAAUGAAGAUACCUCUGUCUCAUAGCUUAUCUGGUGCUCAGGUCAUCCUG
rnacentral:lncRNA from 1 species